rnacentral:rRNA from 1 species
AUUGAACGCUGGCGGCAUGCCUUACACAUGCAAGUCGAACGGCAGCACGGGUGCUUGCACCUGGUGGCGAGUGGCGAACGGGUGAGUAAUACAUCGGAACAUGUCCUGUAGUGGGGGAUAGCCCGGCGAAAGCCGGAUUAAUACCGCAUACGAUCUACGGAUGAAAGCGGGGGACCUUCGGGCCUCGCGCUAUAGGGUUGGCCGAUGGCUGAUUAGCUAGUUGGUGGGGUAAAGGCCUACCAAGGCGACGAUCAGUAGCUGGUCUGAGAGGACGACCAGCCACACUGGGACUGAGACACGGCCCAGACUCCUACGGGAGGCAGCAGUGGGGAAUUUUGGACAAUGGGCGAAAGCCUGAUCCAGCAAUGCCGCGUGUGUGAAGAAGGCCCUCGGGUUGUAAAGCACUUUUGUCCGGAAAGAAAUCCUUGGUUCUAAUAUAGCCGGGGGAUGACGA